GCUGGGCAUGGUGGCACAUGCCUGUGAUCCCAGCUACUCAGGAGGCUGAGGAAGGGGGAGCAUGAAUUUGAGGCCUACCUGGGUAACUUGGUGAGACCCUGCUUCAA
rnacentral:sRNA from 1 species